GUGAGUAACGCGUGGAUAACCUGCCUCAUACAGGGGCAUAACAGUUAGAAAUGACUGCUAAUACCGCAUAAGCGCACAGCUUCGCAUGAAGCAGUGUGAAAAACUCCGGUGGUAUAUGAUGGUUCCGCGUCUGAUUAGCUAGUUGGCGGGGUAACGGCCCACCAAGGCAGCGAUCAGUAGCCGGCCUGAGAGGGUGAACGGCCACAUUGGGACUGAGACACGGCCCAAACUCCUACGGGAGGCAGCAGUGGGGAAUAUUGCACAAUGGGGGAAACCCUGAUGCAGCGACGCCGCGUGAGUGAAGAAGUAUUUCGGUACGUAAAGCUCUAUCAGCAGGGAAGAAAAUGACGGUACCUGACUAAGAAGCCCCGGCUAACUACGUGCCAGCAGCCGCGGUAAUACGUAGGGGGCAAGCGUUAUCCGGAUUUACUGGGUGUAAAGGGAGCGUAGACGGCAGCGCAAGUCUGGAGUGAAAUGCCGGGGCCCAACCCCGGAACUGCUUUGGAAACUGUGCAGCUUGAGUGCGGGAGAGGUAAGUGGAAUUCCUAGUGUAGCGGUGAAAUGCGUAGAUAUUAGGAGGAACACCAGUGGCGAAGGCGGCUUACUGGACCGUAACUGACGUUGAGGCUCGAAAGCGUGGGGAGCAAACAGGAUUAGAUACCCUGGUAGUCCACGCCGUAAACGAUGAUUACUAGGUGUCGGGGGACCAAGGUCCUCCGGUGCCGGCGCAAACGCAUUAAGUAAUCCACCUGGGGAGUGCGUUC
rnacentral:rRNA from 1 species